rnacentral:misc_RNA from 1 species
GUUUAUCCUCAUUCAAAGCGUUGCUGUUGUUUUACAAAAAGCUAUUACAGAUAUGUGAAGGGUACUGGCUCCCUGUUGGCAACUGCCGAGGCAACUUUCCAGGAAAAACCAGAGAAUAGAAUGCCUUCACUGCAGGAUCUGUCUCUCAGAUACUUCACACCUAGGGAGGUUGCGAAUUUGCAUUCUUUUCCAGAAGACUUCCAGUUUCCACAACACAUCAGUCUUCGCCAACGUUAUGCAAUGCUAGGAAACAGUUUAAGUGUGGGAGUGGUUGCUCCACUGCUUCAAUAUCUCUUCAUCAACCAUUCAUGAUUAUGAUUAUGCUAUUAUCUGAAGCUCCAUCUGCACAAGUUUUGCUGGAUAAAAAUUCACAUCCAACAGUUUUUCCCCUG